UACGUAGGGUGCAAGCGUUGCCCGGAUUUAUUGGGCGUAAAGGGCGCGUAGGCGGCUGUGCACGUCACAUGUGAAAUCGCCUGGCUCAACUAGGCGGGGUCAUGUGAUACGGCACUGGCUCGAGCAAGCUAGGGGGUAAUGGAAUUCCCGGUGUAGUGGUGGAAUGCGUAGAUAUCGGGAGGAACACCAGUGGCGAAGGCGGUUACCUGGAGCUUU
rnacentral:rRNA from 1 species